GCCUAUUCAGCCAUCGUUGGGAAGAGAUGCCGCUUGGUCUAGCAAACUUUAUAUUCCCCUGUACAGGGGAACGCCAGGGCCAAGAAGUGGGAGUGAGUGAUUAGGGGAGCAGGGCACGGGGAGGGUACAGGGGACUUUUGCGAUAUCAUUUGAAAUGUAAAUGAAGAAAAUAUCUAAUAAAAAAUUUAAAAAAUAAGGAGGAAGAAAAGGUAAAGAAUAAAAGAAAGAGAGGGUUUCAAGUAUGAGUAGCAAUUCUGGUUUCCUAUUAACCUCUGUGAUACCCUUUACUACAUCUCUAAAGCACUGAGUUUAUGUCUGACCCUUGAGUGGUUCUCCUUGGAAACUCUACUUUCUAGCUAGCUAAAUCUCCUACCUACUGGUCUCCUAAUUAUUAUGCCUCCUAUGGAACCACUUGAUGUAUUUUAUUAUUACAGCUCUCUAAAUGCACGUCUUUACUGUUCAAAAUUGUAAGUGGGCCUGAAUCUUUAUAGAUGUUUGUACUUACUUCUACUCUAUAAUUUUUAGUUUAAAACAGAUACAACUAGUGAAAAUCCAAUAUAGUCAUGUCUGAUUUAAACUGUUUAAGACUGUUCAAUGCAUUAGGUCCAUAUACACUCUGUUGUUUCCUACUUCUAGUUUCUUGAAAAGACUUCUAUUUAGUGUGUGUGUGUGUGUGUGUGUGUGUGUGUGUGUGUUUGUGUGUGUGUGUUUAUAUGUUUAUAUGUUCCAUGUACAUUUAAAAUGACCUUAGGAGACAGAAAAGGGCACUGAAGUCCCUGAAACUUUCAUCACAAGCACAUUUGAGCCACCCAAUAUGGUCGCAAACUUGAGUCCUCUGAAAGAACACUAAAUGGUUCUAACUACUAAGUACCUGCCCAUCCAUUCUGUGUCUUGUUUGAUCAUGAGUUCUGAGCACCUCAGUCACACUUGAAUACUUCAGAAACUGUAGCUUUGAUACUUUCUACUUUAAUUGUCCAAUCUCUAGACUGUAGAUAACAUUUGCUACAGACAACAGUUCCCAAGAAACUUACCUUUUCUCAUAUAGAGCAACCAAAAUAUACUACCAAAGCAAAUACCCCAGUACCAGGCAACAGGGGCCAAAGCCUUUAAUACAGAGACAAAAGAGACCAGUCAGUUUCCUCCAUAGCAGCAUUCCUGCAGUCCCAUGUGCAGCAAUAGAUCAUGCACUAAAAGACCUUCACAUCCAUAUUGCCACUUGGCAAAGCAUUGUGGUGCUGUAUAGCAUUUCUAAUUCCUGGUUCUCUUUCCUCCCAUGGACCCUGUGACUUCUUGGUGUCUUUGCAAAUGGAGGUUUUUACACAGUGGGACCAAAGAAGAAACCAGGAACCAUGCUCUGUGGCUGAGUGGGCACUCAUGGCAGAUCUCAGGAAGAAAACUAAAACUUGUCUUUCUAGAGCCUCUGUUACCAAUGACUGUCAUGACACAAGAGUUCUCUAGGGAGACAGAACACCAGGUUGAGGACAGAAUUGCUAUUUAGAUUGCCAUUCCAUUUAAUAGUGGGGAAAUAGUAUUACUUUGUGAGAAUUAAGGUCUUUUUUAAAUUAUGAAAGUACUAUAUAACAUGUCAUCUGGACCAACUGUUUAUUGGAAUGCAUCAAUACAGUAGACAAAUUCAGUCUUGUUGAUUUACUCAUGACAGCUAAACUGACAAAUUUCCAUUGAGCUUGUUAAAAAUCCAGCUCUGACCUGCUUAAAUGUCAAUUUUGAGUCAAAGCUGAACAGGGUCAUAUAAAAGUGUGUGUGUGUGUGUGCUUGUGUGCAUGCAUGCGUGCAUGCGUGUGUUCUUGCCCCUGAUGAGAAGUAAAGACAAAUAAAGGAACUUUUGAUUCUGUGAACUGCAGACAGCAUACUGAAUCCCUUUUAAAUGUUAACAUUUGGAGCCUUAAGUAUGUUAUCUGCAUGUGAGGAAAAAAAAUCUGUAACUGCAGGUGAAAUUAAGAGGAGAGUAAGAUAGGAAGAAAACCACCAUCAGGAAUGAUAAACCUGGUUUUAAUGACAAAGUUACUUCACAAAGUGUAACUUGGGUGCUUGGUAAAAUGAUCUGACUUCAUUAGUUGAUAUCCAGACUCCCAAAGCCAUCAUCAGCCUGGAAGAAAGCCAUAUGUGUUGGUCAUACAAAUGGACAUUGAUUUUUCAAUAAACUGGAACCCAAAUCCAACAUCACUCCAUGAUAUCUUUUCUCAGGAGAGAGUAUUUCUCGCUCAUGCCUGGCACUGCAUCUCAGCUCUACUAUUACAAGAAUUACAUGGGUGAAGCAAAGUAGGAAACAUCAGCUCACUUAAGUCAUGUGAUAAAUGAGGCAAUUAAGGCAAUUAGAUGCACAGUUACUGAGUUAUAUCUGUUUUUCUUUGUAAAGUAUCAUUUUAAGUAGGAUCAUCUGUCUUACCAUACUUGACGGCAUUAGAAUUUUGUGGAGCAGAAAAAGUGUGGUUUGUUACUAUGAAAACAGUGCCCACUCUCCUAAGGGGAUAAAGAAGCCACUGAGGUUGUGGUUGCUUAAUCCUUUCUUCAGAAGACAGAGCACAUUCACACUUGCCUACUUGGUUUCAAAUAUAGAGAGAUCUGGCUGCCCAGUGACUGGGAGAUUAGUAGACAACACUGUGUUUUUUCACAAUUCAUGAUGUACUGGGCACAACAUUUCAAAGGAAAAGAAAGGAUGAUGCUGUAGCCAUUUGGGCCUUCUGUGAAGAGUCAUGGAAGGGAAGAAAGAAGCUGAACUCUUGUCUAAGGGGAGAGUGCUGAGGCUUGAAGUAGCAUAGUGCUACCCAUCAACAAGCACAGUUCCUUCAUACAUAGAACUUGUUGCUCUAGAAGAGGUGUAUAGAGUCUUAAGAAGUCUCUGGAAAAGGAACCCAUGAGCCAUUUUACUUGGGGAGAUUCAGCACCCACACCACACCGUCUCCACUGAAUGUCAGGAGGCCUAUUUAAGGUCUGUGUCAAAACCCCAGGAGUCAGGACGUAAAGCAAAUAAAUCAUGAGUGAAAGCAUUGCCUUGCCAUACUGGCCUGGUAGCCAACUCUCCACAAGAGAGAUGUCUAGAGGUUGUAUACGAACUAGGUAAUAUUCUUUUGUGUUCACAAGCUUUGCUGCUUUUGUUUUAAACUCAUGAACACAUAGCUAAAUGUAAGGUAAUUUUCAUGUAAGUAUGGAUUCUUUUGGCCAUGUGUGCUCCGUGGUUUCUCUAGAGUACAGGUACACAGACUUCCACACAACCUGAUUCCUUUUCUGUUACUUCUUACAACCACGGAAGAAUUCUUGAACUUCUGCCUAGUGGUUUUGGGGAAACUAAGUCAAUGCUGUCAUGGAAUAAUUUUAAGCUUGAAAUCUGCUGACACGGGGUUCAUAGGAGUAUGAUUGAGAAAUGUAAGCUGAACAAAUGGGUAGAAGCUAAGAGUUGCAGCCAAGAAAGCAUUCUUGGCUUGGAAAUGACACUGGAGGCAUGGAUCAGCUGUUAAGAGCAUUUGUUGCUCAAUCAUAAGGACAGGAGUUUGCAUCUCGGAAACCAGCACCCACAUUUGCCAGCUCAUAAACUCGUGCAUUUUAGCUCUCAGGAAUCUGACACUCUCUUCUGGCCUCUGUGGGCACAUGACAUGACUACAUACAGACAGACAUAGCCACAGUUUGACAUACACAAAAAUAAGAAAAUGUGAAAGCUAUUAGAAAGCAAAUAGAACUUAAAACGUGUGAGUAUUUUCAGGCAGCAAUGUCUUUCCGCUGUUAGGUUGUUUUUUUAAUUUCAGGAUCACCUUUCAAACUGAAGAGUUGAUGGUGCUCAUGAUGCACAAUUAUCUCUGAAUUUCUUCAUAUCUUGAUAAUAGACAUAUAAAGCCAGAUGAGAAUAAAAUGUAUAACAUUAUAUUGACACUGGCUGGGGAUUGUCCACCAAUCUCCCAAAAUAUAGAACUUCCAGUCGACUGGACAAAUGGAUAUAGCCAUUUGCGAAGCCAAGAUAAGGUUUCUCAUUUUUUCCCAUCCAGUCAAUAUCUUAGCUACUGUCUAUGAGAAAAGAAAGGUCCAUGUCGUGUCCACUCUCGACCAGCAAGAACGACACGACCACCAGUCCUUCUAACAGCAGUUUAUUCAGUCCUGAUUCUUCUUGUUUAUUUCUCCCCCGAACCCUGGGCCUCUCACUCCUUUUAUACUCUCAUCCACGCACAGCAGGCCACGCCGCCUCACCAGGCACGCAGCUUCAGCUAAUCAGGGCAGCAGGGGCAUAUCUCCAUCAAACUGGAUUCACCGGUAUCCUGGUGCACCUGCGCAGCUCUCAAGAUGUUUGUGGCUUAUAUGAGGAAGUCAGGUGCAAGUCAUACGACUUAGCUACAGUCCCUGGCGCCUUUGGGACUGCCGCCACACCCGCUCCUAACAGGUCCACAAGGCAAGUACCCAUCCAUUCCAGAAAGACACUACUGUCUUCUCAAGCCUGAAUUCUUGGAAUAUUUAUGCCUAAAAAAUAUUUAAACGCUAAAAAGGGCUAACAUUCCCUCUUUCCUAAAACAAAAGUAUGAAACAAAUGAGUAAUAUCCUUAAUGACUUUUAUCCUCAUUAUUCCUGUGACUCAGUUUUAAAGCUAUUCAUGAAUACUUGCUGUUUCAGAUGAAUUACAAAAGAGCUUUCAUUAAAAUAUUUUGGGGAGUUAUAUUUAAUUUAUAGAUUGACUUUAAUUUAUUAACAUUGUUAUACUAUUGAAUUUCUUUAACCAAAACAUAUUCAACCUUAAUUAUAUGCACUUCGGUGGAAUUACAUAAUUUUCCCUAUAAAAGUCUUGCAAGUCUGCUGAACUGAUUCAUAGAUUUUAAAAUAAUUUUAUUGCUGUUGUGUUGGAUUUUUGUCUCCAAUUUUUCCAAUUAGCUCUAUUGAAUUUUCUGUAAUGAUAUUGUAUUGAUACUGCUCAUGUCUUCUCUUGCUAUUUUACUUUGAACAAAAUAUUACAUUUGACUCGUAUUUUACUAUUUCCAAUUCAUUUUCUUUCCUUAUUUUGUUGGAUCUAUUAGGAUUCUUCCUAUAGUUGCUAAGACAUAGUCAAACAUUUUUAUGUAAGAGUUAAAAGUAAAUUUAAAUUUAAAAGGUUUUGUCAAGACUUUAGUAGAAACUGUCUACUAAAUGCUAUAUAACUUUUCAUUCAUUAGAGAACUUAUUAAUUUCUAGUUUGGUGUUAUAAUGGAAUUAAGUCAUAAAAUACCUCUUGUAACAAUCACAACAUUAUCUAAUACUUAAUUUUUAGAAAUUAUGUUAAUACAUUUCCCAUGCUAUAUCUAGCUCUUCUAGAAUAAAUGUCAUUUGAUAAUUUGUAUUAUUUUCUGAAAAAAAUACUGAUUUUAGCUUGUGACUAAUUCUUUAUACUUGUGCUUAUAACUAACAUUGAUUUAUGUCAUCCCUGUUUGUUUGGGGUUUUUCCUUUAUGUUCUGAUUUUGUAACAAAAUUGUUGAACUUAAUUAAAUAAGUUUUGAAGGCUCUUAAAAUUUUUAAUUCUUUGGAAUUUUAUUUAACAGAGAUGACCUGUUCCUUAAAAGCUAAAUAGAACUGACUCAUAAAUUCUUGCCUUUUUUCGUUAGUCAGAAUAAAUUAUUAAUAUGCUUACUGUUGUAUCCAAUUUUACCUCUUCCUGAGUUAUUUAAAUAAUUCAAAAUUUUCAAAAGCAUCCUGUAUAUUCUUUGGUUUUAUGAAUGUUUAUUUUAUUGUUUUGUUUUUAUUACUGUUGAUGGUAUCCUGAGAUUUAUUAGCUUCUAUAUCCCCAGUAUUUCAUCAUUUUCUAAAUAAAUUUCUAAAGGACAACAAAUUAUUAACUUCUUAUUUUAUUCAUUAAAGCUGUUUUAUACUCU
rnacentral:lncRNA from 1 species